AAGGAGCGAGAGGCGGCCGCUAAGAGGAGACCAAGAGGCGGGGGCUGCCCUUGACAACCAGCAUGCCGAGAUGGGAGGCUGCCACCGGGCUCUAAGCACUGCAGUGGCAUCAAGGUGAGAGCCGAGGCCAGGGCUCCAGCACACUCCUGGUGAACUACGGCGUGGCCACGUCCACCUGAGUGCCAGGAUCACCAUCACUGCCUAUCUGCUCUUCAAGGAAGGCUGCCACCGGGCUCUAAGCACGGCAGUAGCGUCAGGGUGAGAGCCAAGGCCAAGGGAUCCAGGACACUCCUGGUGAGCUACGGCGUGGCCACGUCCGCCUGAGUGCCAGGAUCACCAUCGCUGCCUACCUGCUCC